rnacentral:tRNA from 1 species
GGGAAGAUGGCUCACUGGUAGAGUGCCUGCCUUGCAUGCAUGAGGCCCUGGGUU